UAAGUCCCAGUCCGGAUUGAAGGCUGAAAUUCGCCUUCAUGAAGCCGGAAUUGCUAGUAAUGGCAGGUCAGCAUACUGCCGUGAAUACGUUCCCGGGCCUUGUACACACCGCCCGUCACACCAUGAGAGUUGGGAAUACCCGAAGCCUGUGAGCUAACUUUUAGAGGCAGCAGUCGAAGGUAGAAUCAAUGAUUGGGGUGAAGUCGUAACAAGGUACC
rnacentral:rRNA from 1 species